UACGUAUGGUGCAAGCGUUAUCCGGAUUUACUGGGUGUAAAGGGAGCGCAGGCGGCACGGCAAGCCUGAUGUGAAAGCCCGCGGCCCAACCGCGGGACUGCAUUGGGAACUACCGGGCUGGAGUGCCGGAGAGGUAGGCGGAAUUCCUAGUGUAGCGGUGAAAUGCGUAGAUAUUAGGAGGAACACCAGUGGCGAAGGCGGCCUACUGGACGGUGACUGACGUUGAGGCUCGAAAGCGUGGGGAGCAAACAGG
rnacentral:rRNA from 1 species